rnacentral:rRNA from 1 species
GACGAACGCUGGCGGCGUGCUUAACACAUGCAAGUCGAACGAUGAACCUGGAGCUUGCUCCGGGGGAUUAGUGGCGAACGGGUGAAUAACACGUGAGUAACCUGCCCUUGACUCUGGGAUAACCUCCGGAAACGGAAGCUAAUACCGGAUAUGACGUACGGAGGCAUCUCCUGUACGUGGAAAGAACUUCGGUCAAGGAUGGACUCGCGGCCUAUCAGGUAGUUGGUGGGGUAAUGGCCUACCAAGCCGACGAUCGGUAGCUGGUCUGAGAGGAUGAUCAGCCACACUGGGACUGAGACACGGCCCAGACUCCUACGGGAGGCAGCAGUGGGGAAUAUUGGACAAUGGACGCAAGUCUGAUCCAGCCAUUCCGCGUGCAGGAUGAAGGCCCUCGGGUUGUAAACUGCUUUUGUACGGAACGAAAGGCUCUGGUUAAUACCUGGGGCUCAUGACGGUACCGUAAGAAUAAGCACCGGCUAACUACGU